UCCGUCCCUUCAGUUGUGAAUAAACUUUUCAGGUUUUUUCUCUCCAAAAAAUAAAUUCUUUAAUCCAUGUCCCUUCCGCUGCGUCAAUGAGAUAUUAGGUGGGGUGGAACGGCCCAUCUGAAGAGAGGUUUGAGGACCUUUGGGGUUCAAGCUACCAUGGGAAGAGCAAUGGCCCUAAAACAGCUGCUCCCCCAAAGCAAGUCUGUCCUCUUCCCUCUGACCUUGUCCUCCUCUCUCCUUUGCAGAACAUCAGGAAGGUCUGUCAAGACACUUUUUCGUGUUGCCGGAGGAGGAGAUCCAUUAAAGUGGCUCCUGUCAGUGCUCCAGAAGAAUCGAAGGAAUCCUCCUCCAUGGAUAUCUCUUUGGAGAUUUGGCAUUUCUGGAUGGUAUCUGCGCCACAGCCAGGCCCGAUUGCAAGGCAUGAGGACCCCCUUCGAGUGGAGUCCUAUGAAUCCUGGCGCACCUUGACCAACACAACAGAAGAAGGGAGCAUGGGCACACUGUGGAGCCAACAGCCCCAGGAAGAGAACUCAACAACAGAUAUCAAGAUUGAAGAUUUAGAAGAAUGAAGAACAUCCUGGGACUGCUGGCUCUAUAGUGUCUCCAUCGCUCCACCCAGGAUUCAUAGGACUCCUCUGAAACAGGGUCCUCGCUCCUUGACUCCUGGCUUGGUUGCAGUGCUGAUACCAUCCAGAAAUGUUAUAUCAACUGAGUUGUUUUAUAUUGCUUAACUCCAAAGAUGCUGCUGAGAACUUGUAAAAGAAAAGCUUGCAUGGGGCCAGCCUCCCCAAAUAUACUGGGCGUGUGCAAUCUCACCUGAAGCAUCCAGCAAGAAGGAGAUGAAAAGGAGGACAGGAGGCUUCAACAUUUCCAGAGUGGAAGGUGCAGAAUACAGACCAAUUCUUGGGAGUAGCUACACCUCACUGCCCCCACCCCCACCAUCCUCAGUCUACUGGCAAGUGAUAGCUCACACAUGAGUUAUGACACCACAACUGAUACAAUCUAUGUUCCUCUGGACUUUUACCAAACUGAUCAGUAGCCUACUGCCAGCAUCAAAUAAGACUCUCCCCCACCCCCCCUCAAGGACCUCAUAUCACAUUUACCAUCCCCUAAAAAGGCCCAGGAUGUUUUUACCCUCACAAUUCUGUAUUCAAUAUGUACCUAAAGAACUUUGUGUUUUGUGGGAUGGAGUGGGAGCAGGGAGGGUAUAAAAGAAGGGCUGAAAGGCUAUGGAGAGAGAGAGAUGGGAAGGGGGUGAGAGAAGGGGUCUAUGUUAUUAAUUGCAGCAAUUAUAUGUUUCAUGCUUAUGUCUAUGUUUGAUGUUUUUAUAGUUUUAAUGGUCUUAAUCUACAGUUAUAUGUUAUUUGAUUUAGAUAUGGGAUAUUUUUAUCUAUAUGAGGCACUGAAUUUGUCAUUGAUUAUGUUGUAAACCCAGGGGUGAGAAAAACAGUAUAGAAAUGUAGUUAAUAAAUAAAUAAUAAAUAAGGAAGGAAAGACAGAAGAGAAGUUUUGUGUGAUUUCUAUAAUUUAUUUAU